GAGUUGAUUCCUGAGAGGUCAAAAGGAGUGGACUGUAAAUCCAUUAAUAUAUAUAUUUUCAUCGGUUCAAAUCCGGUUCAACUCA
rnacentral:tRNA from 1 species